GGUGACUCAUCACUGGACUUGUUUGUAUAAAUGGAGCGUGAGCAAUGGAGGGAGCAGUGUGCUGGCAUUGUUCCAACAGGGGACCUGCAAACAGAAGGGAAGCAGGCCUUGCCAGUGAUUCAACCAUGAGGGGGGUUUCGAAUGAUUUUUAGUCCUCGAUACUAAUGACAGAAUGAGCUCUCGGAUAAAGCCACCGCCUUUUGAAAUACACAGACAGCGUACUCCCACUCACUCCGCUCCCAGACGCUCUGCUCUGCAGAAAAUAUCUCCUGCCCCGCGCUGCCAGCUUGAACUGCGCCCAUUGGCUGUCUGUCUUUGCCAUAGCGAGAGGACUACAGAUAGACAUUGAGGCUCCUUCCUGCCUCAGGCAGUCCUGUUACUAAACUACACAGGACGACAACAAAAACCCAUGCCCCUGAAUCGAGAGACAACCAGUGCCCGCCUAUAAGUAGCAGCUGAAUAAAU
ensembl:lncRNA